rnacentral:rRNA from 1 species
GGACGAACGCUGGCGGCGUGCUUAACACAUGCAAGUCGAACGGUGAAGSRCCUKSCUUUUGSUGGGUSUGGAUGAGUGGCGAACGGGUGAGUAACACGUGAGUAACCUGCCCCCUUCUUCUGGAUAACCGCAUGAAAGUGUGGCUAAUACGGGAUAUUCUGUGCCUGCUGCAUGGUGGGUGUGGGAAAGAUGCGCCUUUGGGUGUUUUUGGUGGGGGAUGGGCUCGCGGCCUAUCAGCUUGUUGGUGGGGUGAUGGCCUACCAAGGCGGUGACGGGUAGCCGGCCUGAGAGGGUGGACGGUCACACUGGGACUGAGACACGGCCCAGACUCCUACGGGAGGCAGCAGUGGGGAAUAUUGCACAAUGGGCGCAAGCCUGAUGCAGCGACGCCGCGUGAGGGAUGGAGGCCUUCGGGUUGUAAACCUCUUUCGCCAGUGAAGCAGGCCUGUCCCUUGUGGGUGGGUUGACGGUAGCUGGAUAAGAAGCGCCGGCUAACUACGU